rnacentral:rRNA from 1 species
AGCAGCCGCGGUAAUUCCAGCUCCAAUAGCGUAUAUUAAAGUUGUUGCAGUUAAAAAGCUCGUAGUUGAAUUUCGGGGUCAGUAGGUUGGUCAUGCCACUGGUAUGUACUGGUCUCACUGAUUCCUCCUUCCUGAUGAGCCGUAAUGCCAUUAAUUUGGUGUUGCGAGGAAUCUGGACUGUUACUUUGAAAAAUUAGAGUGUUUAAAGCAGGCUAACGCUUGAAUACAUUAGCAUGGAAUAAUGAAAUAGGACGUUCGAUCUUAUUUCGUUGGUUUCUAAGAUUGACGUAAUGAUUAAUAGGGAUAGUUGGGGGCAUUAGUAUUCAAUUGUCAGAGGUGAAAUUCUUGGAUUUAUUGAAGACUAACUACUGCGAAAGCAUUUGCCAAGGAUGUUUUCAUUAAUCAAGAACGAAAGUUAGGGGAUCGAAGACGAUCAGAUACCGUCGUAGUCUUAACCAUAAACUAUGCCGACUAGGGAUCGGAUGAUGUUAAUUUUUAAUGACUCU